rnacentral:rRNA from 3 species
UUGGAGGGCAAGUCUGGUGCCAGCAGCCGCGGUAAUUCCAGCUCCAAUAGCGUAUAUUAAAGUUGUUGCAGUUAAAAAGCUCGUAGUUGAACUUCGGGGUUUACCCAUUGGUCAGGCUUAAUUGUCUGUACUGGUGAGAUAAAUCUCUACCUUCUGAGGAACUUUCAUGUCAUUAAUUUGGUGUGAUUGGAAAUCAGGACUGUUACUUUGAAAAAAUUAGAGUGUUUAAAGCAGGCUAACGUCUGAAUACAUUAGCAUGGAAUAAUGAAAUAGGACGGACUGAUUCUAUUUCGUUGGUUUCUAGGAUCACCGUAAUGAUUAAUAGGGAUAGUUGGGGGCAUUAGUAUUCAAUUGUCAGAGGUGAAAUUCUUGGAUUUAUUGAAGACUAACUACUGCGAAAGCAUUUGCCAAGGAUGUUUUCAUUAAUCAAGAACGAAAGUUAGGGGAUCGAAGACGAUCAGAUACCGUCGUAGUCUUAACCAUAAACUAUGCCGACUAGGGAUCGGACGAAGUUAAUUUUAUAAUGACGCGUUCGGCGCCUUACGGGAAAC